UAUACAUGCAGUCGAGCGGACGGAUGGGAGCUUGCUCCCUGAAGUCAGCGGCGGACGGGUGAGUAACACGUGGGCAACCUGCCUGUAAGACUGGGAUAACUUCGGGAAACCGGAGCUAAUACCGGAUAAUGCAUAUCCUCUCAUGAGGAUAUGCUGAAAGAUGGUUUCGGCUAUCACUUACAGAUGGGCCCGCGGCGCAUUAGCUAGUUGGUGAGGUAACGGCUCACCAAGGCAACGAUGCGUAGCCGACCUGAGAGGGUGAUCGGCCACACUGGGACUGAGACACGGCCCAGACUCCUACGGGAGGCAGCAGUAGGGAAUCUUCCGCAAUGGACGAAAGUCUGACGGAGCAACGCCGCGUGAGUGAUGAAGGUUUUCGGAUCGUAAAACUCUGUUGUCAGGGAAGAACAAGUGCCGGAGUAACUGCCGGCACCUUGACGGUACCUGACCAGAAAGCCACGGCUAACUACGUGCCAGCAGCCGCGGUAAUACGUAGGUGGCAAGCGUUGUCCGGAAUUAUUGGGCGUAAAGCGCGCGCAGGCGGUCUCUUAAGUCUGAUGUGAAAGCCCACGGCUCAACCGUGGAGGGUCAUUGGAAA
rnacentral:rRNA from 1 species